UGCACUUUUUUCGUCUCUGCAGAAGAUGAUAAAAUUAACAAACAGUUGAGUUUACCUUGAUAUGGUCCACUCAGGUACAGUUUAAAUCACCAAUUAUUGUCAUGUAUCUAUUGUCCAUCUAAUAUCCAUUGUCAAUUAAAAACGCUCACUUCAAUUAUUACCUGUGGGGAAGUUCUCAAACCUGUUUCCCAACUUAGUUUAUUUUGAC
rnacentral:lncRNA from 1 species